rnacentral:rRNA from 1 species
AACGAACGCUGGCGGCAGGCUUAACACAUGCAAGUCGAGCGCCCCGCAAGGGGAGCGGCAGACGGGUGAGUAACGCGUGGGAAUCUACCGUGCCCUACGGAAUAGCUCCGGGAAACUGGAAUUAAUACCGUAUACGCCCUACGGGGGAAAGAUUUAUCGGGGUAUGAUGAGCCCGCGUUGGAUUAGCUAGUUGGUGGGGUAAAGGCCUACCAAGGCGACGAUCCAUAGCUGGUCUGAGAGGAUGAUCAGCCACAUUGGGACUGAGACACGGCCCAAACUCCUACGGGAGGCAGCAGUGGGGAAUAUUGGACAAUGGGCGCAAGCCUGAUCCAGCCAUGCCGCGUGAGUGAUGAGGGUCUUAGGAUUGUAAAGCUCUUUCACCGGUGAAGAUAAUGACGGUAACCGGAGAAGAAGCCCCGGCUAACUUCGUGCCAGCCGCCGCUGUAAUAC